CCGUAAUUACCAGUGAUACCCGAGUUCCCGAGUUGAAUGAUGUUUCCGAUGUUGAUUAACCUGUACCAUUUGUUGCGUCUAUUUCCUCCUCUAGAAGCAAGAAGCCAGGAGACCACUUACGACUCUGCGUUCCAGAUCCCUGAGUCACAGAGCUUUGGAAGAAGCGGAUACAAUCACAAUAAUAUGUGUAUGCAGGCUGAAGAAGAAGCAUCUGC